UCUCAGAUUAAAAUUGAUAAAUUUUUAUAAUACAAAUUAAGAGCCGAACCUAAACCUCCCAACACUUAAGAAAAUGGAUGCAGUAAUUUUGAAUCCACAUCAUAUGUGGUGAUGUUAUAGCUCAAUGUAAUGUUGCGCCUUUAUCCAAACAAAAAGUGGGUAUUUAAACGAAUGGAGGAACUACCAUCAAAAGACCAAGCCCUGCAUGUGUUCUACCAUGAUCUUUCCAGUGACAUUAUCCAUCUAAAUUCUAACUCAUAAUACCCCAAAAUUACAAGAGCCCAACAAGAAACUGUUGAUGCAAGCAAAUAUCCAUAAUAAGUUAUGAAAUCAACUUAUUCGCAUGGCUUCAAGAUGGUAUCUCUCCAAUUCAGCAUCAAGCUUGUCUGCAGUUAACUCCUCACCAUGGCGUCUCUCUUGCCCUUGGAACCUGGCAUAUCCUCGACCACGAAAACCACCACGUCCCCAUCCCCUAGCUCUAUAGCUUCCUUGAUCACUGUCAAGUGACAGUCGAAAACAUGUUAAUUGAGGAUAGAUGUAUAACUAAUUGAGGAUAGAUGUAUAAUAUUGUUAAGACACUCUAAAGCAUGCAGAAACAAAAGAUUAAAAAUGAGGAAAGCAAACUGUCGUUCACAGUUCAACGAUCACAAACACAAACAUCAACAAAUGGGUAUUUUUUUUCCCCCUUUAAUGAGGCAUAAGCCAAGUUCAAGAUACUAAGCAAAUUUUAGCAUACCCUUUGUAAAAGGCAUGCUGAAAAUGACAAUAAAAUUCACCUUGGUUAUUCAGUCCCUUUUCCCCCUUUCCCACCAAUGAGAUGUAUUCAGAUGUACUGCCGACCUCAUGAGGUGGAGUUAUUGCAUGUGGCCACUCACUGCUCCAUAACACAUGAUUGCAUGAGCACAUGCUAAUGCACUUACACCAUGUUACUUUCACUCAAUCAAUUUAAAAACAGAGGAAUAGAAAGAUAAUUGAAAACAAAGUACCUGCUUACCACUUGCUAACUGAUUUUUCAUUAUUUCAGAAAGCAAGAUUGACCAGAAAUCAAACUUGCUAAAAGCUCCUAAUGAAGCAGCCAUAUCAUAUGAAACACUUCAUAUUAACAAUUGUACAGAGCUUGUGACAAAAGAAAUCAAUCACUACCUGUUAUUAUCAGGAUAGGACAAAUAAGUGAUUUCACCCGGUUAUUUGAUGUUAAUUUGUUUAUUGUUACACAUGAUUCAUCAGGUUUUAAACAAGAAAUGACAUCAAAUGGGAAAAUACUAAAAAAAAAGCAGUGGAAGUAAGAAAUAAAACCUAUAUUUCCAGAAUGAAUUCAAUUUACAAAACAUCUUGGGGCAUCAAGACCCAGUCACAGACAUAACCUUGAAAAGAGGCACAAAACGCAAAGUUAGACUCAUUUAUACACAUAUAUGCUCAACAAUUUUAUUUUUUCAAUUGCUGUGCGUUAAAAUGGCAGCUUAGUAUUAAGAUUUACAAAGUCAAUGGCUCCACAUUUGGCAUGUGGAUUGUUAAUAAUUAUGCAAAAACAACAGGAAUAAAACAAGAAACGCUAUACCUUCUAAAGGCACCAUGCGAUUUUCCCAUGUUACUAGAUGCAGUUACAGGCAUAGGAGGAGCAAAUAAAUUAACUCCAACAAGUUCAAUUUUCAUUGGCUUCCCAUCAAGCUGAACAUUGUUGUACCUCUCGAUAGCUGCUAGAGCAUCUGUCUGGCGUGAAAAGACAACUUCAGCUGUCCCCUUUGAUCUUCCACUUUUAUCAUAAUGGAUUGAGUACCUUUUCAAUUCACCGACAUCAGAGAAAAGCAACUUAAUAUCAUCAUUAGAAACACCAUAAUCCAACUCUGAUAUGUAGAGCUUAGUGCCUGACUCCCCAUUAGCCUCUCCACUAGGAAGCAUUAUCGGCUCCGGAACUACCAUUGGAGGCAGCAUUGGGUAGGGUCUGUGCCUGAUCGGGUCACGCUGGAAAAACCGGCGAUUAGGGCCAGGAGCGGAGCCAGAACGGGAGGCUCCGCCUCUGUCUCCACCUCUAAAAUGAUUGUUGUUACGUUCUCCUCCUCGAUAUCCCCUGCACCUGUGGAUUAUGUCAUCGAGAGACAUGUCGAGAGAGCUCGACAUUGUUAGGGUCUGUUUGGAUGGGAGUGAGGGAAGUGUAAGUGACGGAGAGAUUGAGAGAUUGAGAGCGACGAAGUAGUAGAAGCGUAGGGUUUAGUAGCCCUCCUCCUCGAUAUCCC
rnacentral:misc_RNA from 1 species